rnacentral:rRNA from 1 species
CAGCGUGCGGGAUGACGGCCUUCGGGUUGUAAACCGCUUUCAGCAGGGAAGAAGCGAAAGUGACGGUACCUGCAGAAGAAGUACCGGCUAACUACGUGCCAGCAGCCGCGGUAAUACGUAGGGUACGAGCGUUGUCCGGAAUUAUUGGGCGUAAAGAGCUCGUAGGUGGUUGGUCACGUCUGCUGUGGAAACGCAACGCUUAACGUUGCGCGUGCAGUGGGUACGGGCUGACUAGAGUGCAGUAGGGGAGUCUGGAAUUCCUGGUGUAGCGGUGAAAUGCGCAGAUAUCAGGAGGAACACCGGUGGCGAAGGCGGGACUCUGGGCUGUAACUGACACUGAGGAGCGAAAGCAUGGGGAGCGAACAGGAUUAGAUACCCUGGUAGUCCAUGCCGUAAACGUUGGGCACUAGGUGUGGGGGACAUUCCACGUUCUCCGCGCCGUAGCUAACGCAUUAAGUGCCCCGCCUGGGGAGUACGGUCGCAAGGCUAAAACUCAAAGGAAUUGACGGGGGCCCGCACAAGCGGCGGAGCAUGCGGAUUAAUUCGAUGCAACGCGAAGAACCUUACCAAGGCUUGACAUACACCAGACCGGCCUGGAAACAGGUCUUCCCCUUUGGGGUUGGUGUACAGGUGGUGCAUGGUUGUCGUCAGCUCGUGUCGUGAGAUGUUGGGUUAAGUCCCGCAACGAGCGCAACCCUCGUUCUAUGUUGCCAGCACGUGAUGGUGGGAACUCAUAGGAG